GAAAAAGGUAAAUCACGUGUUCUCCGUCCAACUGAAGAAACAAAGCGUUAUUGCGCCCCUAUAUUAUCAAGGCAAACUGGUCUUACUAUAAAAGAGCCCUCUUCUAUUAAUAUCAAGAAAAAGGAUGCUAUGAAAUUAGUUCUUCUAACAAAAGAGAACAAGUCCUCCCAUCUUUCUAUGUAUUUGAAAAAGGGAACAACAAAAUGUCACUCCUGAGGUC
rnacentral:misc_RNA from 1 species